AUGCAUUCUCACAAGUGUGUGCAGCAUGCAACGGUCCCAUCCAGUGACACAGGAGGAUGAGGACCCUUCCCUAGGGACAAGAUGGCUACCUUCCAGAAGUCUCCAGAAUUACUGCCUAGUUGGCUGUAUGGCCUUGGACAGAUUAAUUCUCUGGCAAUUGGUCUAUGCCUCAGAAGUUGACCAGAAGUGCAAAGGAGAUCUUCUGCUGAGGAGAGCCUUCUGAUCCAGUCAGCAGGCAGUUGUGCACCUGAUAUGACCUGCAUUUGGACUUGACCUGACUGUGGCAGGGAGUGAUCUGACAGGAAAUGGAGAUGGGACAGAUCUAGGUCACCUAAUGCCGGGAUCAGGCAUUGUCUGUGACGAUCAAAUCUUCUGAGAUCGGAGCUAUAACCAAGUGGCUUCUGUGUGCCAACAGCUUUGCCCACCUUCAUUCUUCCAGAAACUUCUCCCAUGGUCUCCCUCGCUCGUGCCAUCCCCCUCUCCCCGACUCCCAAAGGACUUCCCAAGACUCCCUGAACAACAUAAACCUUGGGCCCUUCAGGCAGGUGUCAGCCACAGGAGUGGUGGGUUUACAAGAAUACCCAGUUCCUCUUUGUCACCGGGGAUGCAGACACAGUUGCCAACCAUGAUGGGACCACCAUGGAAGAAGGAACAACCAACUGGCCUCAAAGGAAGACAGUGCAGGAAAAGGAAGCCUGGGCCAAGCCCAGGACCAGGCCUCUCCUUGCCACCCUGUCCUGCCAGGGCCGGCGGUGGCUGGACCCUUACCGUACAGUGACGUCAUGCUAUGCCUGCAAGUCCCCUCCCAGCCUUGGUGAGAUUGGCCAGGCACAUUUCUGUAUUAGGAAACAGGCCCAGGACUUGGGAAGGGCUGGCUCAAGGCUACCUGGUUCAUCAGUGGAACAGGAGGCGUUUGAACCCAGAUCCGCUUGGCCCUCUGUGUUGAAUCUUAGAGCUAGCUCAUUCACCUGGCCGGCCGUGGCCAAGCCUCACCUGUUCACACAUGGCCCUGGAGUCGAAUGUUUUACCAUGCAUGAUUCAUUCACCUGGAUUACACGUGCGUUUAACAAUGGGAAUAUCUCUGGGAGGAGUGACCUACUGAGUGGCUAAGUCACCCAGCUGUAUCCGAUGCUCCCUGUGCCGAGGACUUAGCUCAGCUGUUUUCUGGCUCUGGAAAUUCCGGUCAGCAUUCGGUUCUAAGGAGUCUGUUUCCUUUCAGGAAAAAUGCAUCUAAUGAAGCAAUCCUUUGACAUAGACAAGAUGGGGGAGCAGGGUGGUGUCCAAGGAUCUCAAAGACUGAGAAACGUAGUAAGGUCAUGAGUCAUAGCACACCAGCUGAGAGAAAUUGUUCACAUUGUUACCCAAGCACCUUGCUUACCCCAGGCCUGCCCACAUCAUGACAGGAGGGAAUGACUAAUCAGAGGAAGCAGAGAAGAGGCGUGGGUCGGGGGGAGACAUGAUAAUUUGGACAGGGCGGAGGAUGGCAGCAGGGGACAUGGCUGCUCAUAGGACCAAUGGACCUUGAUCCCAACCUGUGGUCUGCUUGGCUCUGUGUUUCAAAUCUCACUGAAUCAGUCUUUCUCCCCCUCCCCUCCCUCCCUCCUUUCCUCCCUCCCUCCCACUCUCUCUCCUGUUUCUCUGCCAACUGCAGAGAAUACAAGCAGCAUAGUUCUUACAUUCGACAGAUAGCAGGCCAACUCUAGGGACAGACAUACACAGAAGCAUCCCAGGGAUACAGAUGCAGCCGAGGGCUAGUCAAAGGAACCCAUUUUAAUAGAAACUUAAUUUUUUUGCAGGUGGAGGUGCACAUGUAGAGGGACAAUUUUAGGGAGUCAGUUCUCUCUUUUGUGACUUCCGGGGAGACUGAAUGUGCCAGGCUUGCAUGACAAAUGGCUUUACCCUCCUAAAUCAUCUCACAGGCUCAAAGCCAGCCAAAGGGAAUCCAUUUUAGACAGGAGGGGGCUUCCUUGUUCUCUCAAACCAGUUUAAACAAAGCUUAAGUCGCCGUGACAUCCUGAAGACAAUAGGGUCUGGGCCAUAUAUGAAGCAGGUUAGGACCACAGAGCGGAGUAGGCAGAAGCAGUUCACAGGAGAGCGCUUCACAGGUGGCUGGUUGCUACUAGCAGGGUCUUUCCCUUGCCUGACUCUGUCCCCAACAAAGCCAUGCCACCUGCCCGUCCCUUGGCCUGGUCCUGCGCAUACAUGCCUACAUCAUAGGGCACACUCUGGUGGAGCUCUGCUCCCAAGGGAAGCUUGAAACAUUUCUUCAAGAUGAAAAAGCGUGAAUGAGGCCAGUCAAGAGCGGACAUCUUCUUGCAAUUCCCUGUCAACAAGUUCUGUGUACAGGCUUCUCACCGAGGCCAUUUUUGAGGAAGAACCAAGGAACUGAAGAGCCUGGCAGCUCAAGCCUCUUUCCAUCACUGCUGCUUGGAAUGCAACAAAUUCCCUGAGCCUGUCUACAAAGAGGCUGGGGCUUUGUCCAUUUCAACAAAUAUACCUUUUUUUUUUUACUGUAUAAUUUAAGGUAUCAUUUUAUUCAGGUGCCAUUCAAACGUGUGCAAAAACGCUUGCAUAUGCCAUAGCUAUUAAUGAAAUCAUUACGUACAAACA